UCCCUUGUGGCUCAGCUGGUAAAGAACCUGCCUGCAAUGUGGGAGACCUGGGUUUGAUCCCUGGCUUGGGAA
rnacentral:tRNA from 1 species